AAUCGCGGAUCAGCAUGCCGCGGUGAAUACGUUCCCGGGCCUUGUACACACCGCCCGUCACACCACGAGAGUUUGCAACACCCGAAGUCGGUGAGGGAACCUACCCACCCCACAAAGUACUACUUUGCGGGGAACCCCGGGAAGGACCCAGCCGCCGAAGGUGGGGCAGAUGAUUGGGGUGAAGUCGUAACAAGGUAUCCCUACCGGAAGGUGGGGAUGGAUCACCUCCUUUCUA
rnacentral:rRNA from 1 species